ensembl:snRNA U6 U6 spliceosomal RNA
GUGCUCACUUUGGCUGCACAUAUACUAAAAACUGAAACAAUACAGAGAGGAUUAGCAUGGCCCCUACGCAAGGAUGACAUGCAAAUUCGUGAAGGAUUCCAUAUUUAA